ACUCUUUACAGAAGUUCAAUGUUUGCUCUGAGAAGUUGAAUGAACAAAUUUAUUAAAUGAUAAAGUUGUAUCCUUGAAAGAUAUGCUGGUAUUAUUGGCACAAUGGGCAAGCAUUGAAGUGCAACUUGGUGAAAUACAAAACACAUCAAAUUCAGUUAUAAAAAUUUGAGUAACAAAGGUCAAUUAUUUGGCACAAUUUGGAGUUAAUGACACUAAAAAUUACUAAGAAUUGUUUUUUAAAAUGGCAUAGCUGUAAAAUUAAACUAUACAGGGAGAGGACAAAAAGUUGGAAUAGGAAAAAUGUUGAUUGCAUAUGUUGCUAUUGAAACUGUGAAGUCAAAUAAGCAUGGCUUAUGCAGACAUGUGAUAGAGAUAGUGAAAGAAAAAAUAAUAAUAGUGGGUACCAAAUAUCAUAAGGUAAACACGAUUCAAUAACAAGUAGCUCAGCCAAUAUCGAAACUACUCUAUAAAUUUUAUAGU